CCUCACCCCCCAACAGCAGGGACCCAUUUGGCUGACAAAGAAAAACAAUUUUCUGAGCUGCCUAUUUAAUAACCCCUCAGCACAGCUAAAUGAUGUCUC
rfam:Pongo abelii chromosome 5.